UACAGAGGGUGCGAGCGUUAAUCGGAAUUACUGGGCGUAAAGCGUGCGCAGGCGGCGGCUCAAGUCAGGUGUGAAAUCCCCGGGCUUAACCUGGGAAUUGCGCUUGAAACUAGGCUGCUUGAGUGUGGCAGAGGGGGGUGGAAUUCCACGUGUAGCAGUGAAAUGCGUAGAGAUGUGGAGGAACACCGAUGGCGAAGGCAGCCCCUGGGUCAACACUGACGCUCAUGCACGAAAGCGUGGGGAGCAAACAGG
rnacentral:rRNA from 1 species